GGAGAGGUGGCAGAGUGGUCGAAUGCGGCACACUGCUAACGUGUUAACCCCCAAAAAGGGUUCGCGGGUUCGAAUCCCGCCCUCUCCG
rnacentral:tRNA from 1 species